rnacentral:rRNA from 1 species
AUUGAACGCUGGCGGCAUGUUUUACACAUGCAAGUCGAACGGUAACAGCACUUCGGUGGCUGACGAGUGGCGAACGGGUGAGUAAUACAUCGGAACGUGCCUAGGAGUGGGGGAUAACUACUCGAAAGAGUAGCUAAUACCGCAUGAGAUCUAAGGAUGAAAGCAGGGGACCUUCGGGCCUGGCGCUACUACAGCGGCUGAUGGCAGAUUAGGUAGUUGGUGGGAUAAAAGCUUACCAAGCCGACGAUCUGUAGCUGGUCUGAGAGUACGACCAGCCACACUGGGACAGAGACACGGCCCAGACUCCUACGGGAGGCAGCAGUGGGGAAUAUUGGACAAUGGGCGCAAGCCUGAUCCAGCAAUGCCGCGUGCAGGAUGACGACCUUCGGUUUGUAGACUGCUUUUGUAAGGAGCGAAAGGCGCUCAACUAAAACAGGGGGGUCAUGACGAUACCGUAAAAAUAAGCACCGGCUAACUACGUG